CCCCAAUUACGCGGCCGCGCUGGGAGAGCUUCAGCUCCGAGUCGGAAGCGGCAGCGAGACGGGAAGACCUGGCAUUUGUCCCCAGUAGCCCGGGACCCGGUGGCGGGCAAACGCCUAGAGAGGCCAGCGGGACGCAGGGCAGUGCGUGCGUACGGUGGCGUCCAGGCUCUUCCGAGGCCUCUGGUUCCCUUAAUCGCCACAACGGAAGCUUUCCUGUCGUACGUGUUCACGGCAGCACGGCGCACACCUAAGGCGUCGGUGGAAAGCCUCACCACCCCUGAGGAAACACCCCACAGGAAGUCCCUGGCCCACAGCCCUCAGCUCUGAGCAGUCCUGCUGCAGGGUCUUAGGGUGCUUCUUGUCGCCUUGGUCUUGGGGAGCCCAGUGAGUGCCGCCAGCCCCGUGGUGCAGCAAAGACCAGCUGGAGUCUGUAACUGUCCAGGCACCCCUACAGAGAAGCCAGAGAAGCACCAACCCCAUGGAAGGCCUUUCUGAUAGAGUCCCGCGUUCACUUCCUGACAAGCCGGAAGCCACUAGCUGAGGAGGAUGGGGCUGAAACAAGGACUCCUGCAGGGGACCAGCCAGCUGCGGAGCCUGGGAACCACCCUCUCUGCAGCUGGGUACUUACGGUCUCAGUUCUCCAUCGGUGGAGGAGGAGGGGAGGCUAGGCCCCCUCCACAGGGCAGCGGGUGUCCCCUCUGUCCGCCAGGAUCUGUGGGCUGUGAGCAGGGCUCCUCGAGGGGGUACAGGCCUGUGCUGCCCACCCUGCGUGGGGUGGAGAAGGGUUAGGAGCUCUCUGGCCUCUGCUCCAAGGCCUGCUCGUGUUCUCUCUCCCUCCUGCCUGUUCUUUCCAACAAUAAACAAGCUGAACAUGGCUCAGGUUAGACCUGUGAGCACUUCCCAAAGGUUAAGGGGCCCAAGGGGUAGAAAGUGAACUCAUGGGCCCUGGCCCACCACAAGGCUAAGCCAGAAGUCCCAGGGAGGUGUCCCUAAGUGAAAAGCGAUGGUUAACAGGGAGUGGAAAUGGGGGAGAAGUUCUCCAAACCCAUGCACCUGCUCCUCGGACUCCUUCCACACCUGCACUUGGUCGUGGCACAGAGUAGUCAUGCAUGCCCUUCAACCCUGUGGAUGACCUUCAGCCCUGGAACAAUUUCCUCCUCGGUAGUGAGAGGAGUUUGCCCUGGAUUAUCCUUGAGGGGCUUCCAUGCUCUGCCCCUCAAGAUCAUGAGUUGAGCCCCCAGGACUGUGUGCAGGACGUCCUGGGAGGAAGGAGUAAGAUAGCUUCAAGGACAGUAGUUAUUGUGCCUGCCCCAUACCUACUAAAUCAGAGGCAGGAACUAGAAAUUACAUUUGAACAAGCUCACACUAAAAUAUGAGGCAUACCACACUGGCCUUUUUCCAGUUCCUCAGCCACACAGCUUGGCACCUGCUGCCCCCUCCCCUCCAUCUUCCCAGAUGUCUUCCCUGACCACCAGGUCUAACAAUAAACCACAAAUCAUUUUGUAGUAUAGGUACGUCCUGUGCAACAUUAGGAAUUACACCAAUAAAGCAUUUGCUGUCAACCUGAAGCUGAAACUUCA